GAUGAAGAACGUAGCGAAAUGCGAUACGUAAUGUGAAUUGCAGAAUUCAGUGAAUCAUCGAGUCUUUGAACGCACAUUGCGCCCCCUGGUAUUCCGGGGGCCAUGCCUGUCCGAGCGUCAUUGCUGCCCUCAAGCACGGCUUGUGUGUUGGGCCUCCGUCCCCCUCCCGGGGGACGGGCCCGAAAGGCAGCGGCGGCACCGCGUCCGGUCCUCGAGCGUAUGGGGCUUCGUCACCCGCUCUUGUAGGCCCGGCCGGCGCUUGCCGACACAUCAAUCUUUUUUCCAGGUUGACCUCGGAUCAGGUAGGGAUACCCGCUGAACUUAAGCAUAUCAAUAAGCGGAGGA
rnacentral:misc_RNA from 1 species